UGACAUUUAUUGGGGGCUAGCUAUUGCCUGCCAGACUGCUCUAAGUGCUUUAUUUGCAUGAACUGAGUUAAUCUGAACAGAAACUUCAGGGCUGGACACUAUAUUCCCUUUUUACAACAAAGUCACUUGCUUCUGCUUUUACUCGUGCCUUUGGCGACACAAUGACUCUGCAAAUUGUCCUGUGCCCAGAGGAAACAUUUUUCUGAAAACUUCUGCGCUGGGGCAGAUUUAGGGCAAAGUUAACACUUCAAAAAUAUCUCCAGUAAUUGAGUAAAUUGCUCAUCUGUCAAAUUGGCUCUUUGGCAAAUUACUCUGCUUGCACAUAUUAAUAGCCAAGCUUAGCCAACUUGAAAUAUGGAGAUUUACUGGAAAUCACAGUGAAGUGAAGAGAGAGGCAAGAGCAGAAUUGAAAUUCCCACCUGGCAGCAAAAGAGAGUUAUGCAGAGCCUAUCAGGUAAGGCAGAAGCACUUCCUGGACCGCUCAACUGAAGGGCACAGCCAGCAGUGAGGUGGGGUGGCCCAGAGGUUAGAAACCCCACAGAGAGAAUCAGAGGGAAGCUGGAGGCAGAGGGAGUGCGCCAUUCGGAAUUCCAGGGGUUGAGGACCUCUAGGUCCCAGGACCCGUGUUCACACCAGCACUUAGUUUGGAGGAAGCACCUGGAGGAGAUGCAGAGUCCAGAUGUGCGCCCUCUGCCGGAAGCCUACUGCACCAGGACGUAGGCCUGGAGUGGCCCUUAACGCAUUUGGAAAUCAGUCUUCACUAAAAAAACUUCCUCCAAAAUGUUCUUUAACAGCCCUUUAAAAGCCAUUGUUUCAAAACAGUCCAAGGUGGUGAACAAUUAAUAUUUUCGAUUUACAUGAAGACUCUGGAGUAGGAAUUACCUGAGUUGGAAACUCAGUUCUACUCUAUUGGUAUCAGGUUGCAUUCUG
rnacentral:lncRNA from 1 species